rnacentral:rRNA from 1 species
AGCGAACGCUGGCGGCAGGCUUAACACAUGCAAGUCGAACGGUCCUUCGGGAUAGUGGCGGACGGGUGAGUAACACGUGGGAACGUACCCUUAGGUUCGGAACAACACAGGGAAACUUGUGCUAAUACCGGAUAAGCCCUUCGGGGGAAAGAUUUAUCGCCUUUGGAGCGGCCCGCGUCUGAUUAGCUUGUUGGUGAGGUAAUGGCUCACCAAGGCUACGAUCAGUAGCUGGUCUGAGAGGAUGGCCAGCCACACUGGGACUGAGACACUGCCCAGACUCCUACGGGAGGCAGCAGUGGGGAAUCUUGCGCAAUGGGCGAAAGCCUGACGCAGCCAUGCCGCGUGGAUGAUGAAGGUCUUAGGAUUGUAAAAUCCUUUCACCGGGGACGAUAAUGACGGUACCCGGAGAAGAAGCCCCGGCUAACUUCGUGCCAGCAGCCGCGGUAAUACGAAGGGGGCUAGCGUUGCUCGGAAUUACUGGGCGUAAAGGGCGCGUAGGCGGACAGUUAAGUUGGGGGUGAAAGCCCGGGGCUCAACCUCGGAAAUGCCUUCAAUACUGGCUGUCUUGAGUACGGGAGAGGUGAGUGGAACUCCGAGUGUAGAGGUGAAAUUCGUAGAUAUUCGGAAGAACACCAGUGGCGAAGGCGACUCACUGGCCCGUUACUGACGCUGAGGCGCGAAAGCGUGGGGAGCAAACAGG